UACAUGGAGAGUAGACCAGAGUAAUCAACUUAGUAUUGACGUAGAAGAACAAAGUUAGAGGACUGACCCUACUUGACAUCGAGACUUACUAUAAAGCUAUAGUAAUCAAGGUCACAUGGUAUUGGUGAAAGAACAAACAACUGGACUAAUGGCAUAGAAUACAGGGUGCAGAAAUAGGUGCACAUAAAUAUAGCUGACUUAUCUAUGGCAAAGUUAGAGUAAAGGCAAUAUAAUGGAAUAAAGUUGUCUUUUCACAGAUGAUGCUAGAAUAAAUGGACAUCCACAUGCCAAAAAAAAUUUGAAUCUAAGGCCAGGCGCGGUGGCUCACGCCUGUAAUCCCAGCACUUUGGGAGGCCGAGGCCGGCAGAUCACGAGGUCAAGAGAUCAAGACCAUCCUGGCCAACAUGGUGAAACCCCGUCUCUACUAAAAAUACAAAAAUUAGCCUUGCGAUCAGGGCUUGAGGAACCCGCGCCAUGAAGUGCAUGUUUGUUACCGUAGGGACCACCAGCUUUGACGACCUCAUUGCGUGUGUGUCGGCGCCCGACAGUCUGCAAAAAAUCGAGAGCCUUGGUUACAACCGACUUAUCCUGCAAAUUGGUAGAGGAACGGUGGUACCUGAAACCUUCAGUACUGAGUCGUUUACUCUGGAUGUUUACAGGUACAAGGAUUCCUUGAAAGAAGACAUCCGGAAAGCAGAUCUUGUUAUCAGUCACGCAGGUGCAGGAAGCUGUUUGGAGGCUCUGGAAAAAGGAAAGCCACUCGUAGUGGUCAUAAAUGAAAAGUUGAUGAACAGUCAUCAGCUGGAACUGGCAAAGCAGCUACACAAAGAGAGUCAUCUCUUUUAUUGUACCUGCAGCACGCUUCCUGGGCUGUUACAGUCAAUGGACUUAUCAACACUGAGAUGUUAUCCUCCUGGCCAGCCAGAAAAAUUUUCUGCAUUUUUGGAUAAAGUCGUUGGAUUACAAAAAUAAACACUAAACUCUCAACACGUUAAAAGCAACCCCCAAAUUCAACCUAUGGAAGGUGAUCAAAUUAAAUACAUAAUGUAUAUUUACAAAAUAAUAUAAUUAAUAAACUUCCUACAUCUAUAGAAGGUAUAGGAAAUUUUAUGGUGUGCACAUUUGCAUUGGGUCCAAAUCCUAAUUGCAGUUUAGUAAACUUUCUAGAUUUUUUCUAAUCUUCAGUAUGUAGUGAGCAUUCACAGAUUUUCUCCUCGAAUCUCAAGUGGAAUUGGAAUCAUGAAAAUGAAUGAGAUUUGAAAACUUUCACAAAGAUUAUAAAUGUAGUUUGAUGUUCCUUAGAAUAAAAAAUGAAACAGUAACAACUUUUAAAAAAUUUUACAUAAGAGUCAGCAUCUUUAGCUUUAUAAUCUAAGGAACCAAAUUUAAAAAAUGAUGGAUUACGCUCUGUGAAAUGAAAAGUUCAA